rnacentral:tRNA from 1 species
GGUGUAGCUCAGUGGUAGAGCAAACAUAUGCACAGCAUGUAAAAGGCCCUGGGUUCAAUCCCCAGCACC